UACGUAGGGGGCGAGCGUUGUCCGGAUUUAUUGGGCGUAAAGAGCGUGUAGGCGGCCAGGUAGGUCUGCUGUGAAAACUCGAGGCUCAACCUCGAGACGUCGGCGGAAACCAUCUGGCUAGAGUCCGGAAGAGGAGAGUGGAAUUCCUGGUGUAGCGGUGAAAUGCGCAGAUAUCAGGAGGAACACCGGUGGCGAAGGCGGAUCUCUGGGCAUGAUCUGACGCUGAGGAGCGAAAGUGUGGGGAGCGAACAGG
rnacentral:rRNA from 1 species